UUUUGCAGGCUGAAGGUGAUGAUAAUGAUGCCGAGGCUGAUGAUGAUGAAACUGACAAAGAUGCUGAUAUUACAGAAGAGAGUGCACAUGAUGAGUUGUAGGGAGGGAGAGCAUCGUUGUGGUUUUCUGCUGACAAUUCACUCUCUCGAGAUCUCUGAAUUUUUUUCUUGCUUAGUUUAUUUGUAGCUUUUAGUUUUGUUUGUGUUUUAGGAAAAGAAACAUUGGUGGCUGCAUAGCAAGCAAGAACUGUGGCUAAUUGUUUUAA